UACGUUUUAAUUUUUAACUCUAAUUGUUGUUUGAUUUUCUUUUUUUUUUUUGAUUUUUUAGAAAAUUUUUGUAAAAUGAGGUUAUUUUUUUUAUUUAAAGAAAAUCUUUAAAAUUUGUUUUUUGAACUGGAUUAGUACCCAGGUAAUCAAAAUUAAUUAGUGCGGGAGUAAAGUAUUUUUUAAACCGAAAAAGUAUUGACUGACUUCAGAUUUUUUUUUGGAACAUGCUUUUUGGAGAGUCCUCCUUGAUUUGUUUUUCUUUUUUGGGUUCAUGUAUGAUUGUUUAGUAUUUACAUUAAUUGUGAAGCUUUGGUUAGUUUAAAGCAGAUAUAUAUUUGGCUAAUGGAAAAAUUUUUAUUGUGUGUUACUAUUUCUUAUGUUAUUCGGAGUUUUUUUUAAUAUUUUGGUGAAGUUGGAAAAAAGAGUAAUUAUAUUUUUAUGUUAUAAUGAAUUUAAUAAGUGAAGU
rnacentral:rRNA from 1 species